GCAUUUUGAAUUAUGUUAUUCGUGAUAUUUUUCAGACAAGGAGGUAAAGAAUUAGGUUGAUGUUUGGUCGAUCACCAUAAAGAUGAUCAACUGACAUUGGACACAAGGUGGAUAUGGAUUUAAAAAGUGCCAUAAAACACUUAUUAUGAAUGAUCCUUCCGCAGGUUCACCUACGGAAA
rnacentral:misc_RNA from 1 species